ensembl:lncRNA novel transcript
GAGUAGCUGGGACUGCAGGCGCCCGCCACCAUGCCUGGCUAAUUUUUUGUAUGUUUAGUAGAGACGGGGUUUCACCGUGUUAGCCAGGAUGGUCUCUAUCUCCUGACCUUGUGAUCUGCCUGCCUCGGCCUCCCGAAGUGCCGGGAUUACAAGCGUGAGCCACCAUUCCCGGCCCAAAGAGGAGAAGAAGUAUGAAGUGCUUGCUUGGACCUUUCUACUGUGCUUAUUAUUCUGUCUUCUCCUCAUGGCAAAAGCUGACAAACGGUUUAUAUCAGAAGGUGGAAUCGUGGGUAUGGUCGAUGUGGCAGGUCCUAAACAUAAAUUGGAUUUCUUUUUUAUUUUCAUUUAUUAAAUACAGAAGAAAUAUUUCGCUGAAGACACAGGAAACCCUAUUUUGUAUAAACGAGGGAUUGCAAGAGAUUGUUGGAAGAUCAAAGAUGGGUGAAUUGGAGGAGUGAUGCAGAGUAAAGACAGCAUGUAUUGAUGCUGGAAGACGGCUAUAAUAUCUUCAUUAUUUCUUUCCUAUGUCAAGCUCAGAGCCUUCCACAUUUUUUUCUAAUAUUUAUUGGUUUUGAGCUAGCCCCGUUCAGAACACAAUAUUCUAGGUAUGAUCUGUCCAGCGCAAACUUGACUGUAAUCUCUUUUGAUUUGAAAGUGCUUUCAUUGGCAACACCUGAGAUUUUCAUGACCAGUGUUGUGACACUUAACUCCCUACAGGCAUUUGAACCAAUCAGUAAUACUCCAGGCCUUCUCUACAAGUCAACUUACUGGCAAACUAUGUCUCUUUUGACUCAUGCCUAUGAAAUUGCCCUUGGAGCAUGUGCUGAAAAUUCUAUUCCUACUCAUUGUUAUCCUGUUAGAUCUUGACAUUUAUGCUUGCCAGCAUUCUUUUAGGUAUGGAUAAACCUCUCUUCAAAGCUUCACAUCAGAUACAAAUUUUACCAGUGUUCUCUGGUGUCUUUAUUUUCAGUAAAAACAACAUCAAGACCCAAGUGGUGAUGGGAUCCUUCAACACAACAUAUGUUUCUCUCUAUUUUGGGAGUGGUCACCCCAACAGCAUUCUAGUCAGGUAACCAAUGCUGAACCCUACUAUAUACUAUCAUCAAACCCAUAUAUAUUUUUUUCAUAAAGAUUUGUGAAGAAAGUUCACAAACCUUCUUCAUACUUUAUACUUCCUUCACAAUAGGAGCUCCAUUAUGUAGGAAUUUGUACUGGCUAAUCCAAGCACCUAGCUUCUAGCCUGUGGAAGCAGAGGCACAUCCAAGCAACAAAAUGUUGGGAAAGAAAGGUUAUGACCACUAAGAUAGUAUAUCAAAUAGUUUUCAGAUGAAACCAAUAAAAAUCAGAUUUAGACAAG